ACGAAGACAGAAGGUAAAAGUGAGAUCGGAAGCAAGCAACAGCUUGGAAAACGGGCAGAAAAAUAAAACGGAAAAGGAGCCAACCAAACCGAUCGGUCGACCGAUCAAUCUCAAUCGAAGCACCAGGAAAACUCGCGCAACACAAAUCUCAACAAUUAUCCGGCUGGUGCGCCGGCGAGCACCGUCCUCCGGCGACCGGCUGGGCAGCAGCAGCAAAGGGGGAUCUUGUCACGCUUCGAGAUCGGUCGCCGCGCUGGGGGCGACUCACUCGCGCCACUCUUCCCCUUCCCUGCGCUGGUGGCGGAACCCUAAUGCCGGCCCGAGUCUAGCCGCCAUGGACUUUGCCAGCCGCCACGCCGCAGCGGAGGCGGCCACAUCGGCAUCCGCCGCUGCCCCCGCGGGCGUCGCCGAGGAGCCCGAGUACCUCGCCCGGUACCUCGUCGUCAAGCACUCUUGGAGGGGAAGGUACCGCCGGGUCCUUUGCAUCGCCUCUUCCGGCGUCGUCACGCUCGACCCCACCACGCUCAACCUCACCAACUCCUACGAUGCCCGCUCCGAGUUCGACCACGCUGAGGCUCUCACCGCCACCGACGAGUUCACGCUCGCAGUCCGCACCGAUGCCCGCAGCAAGUUCAAGCCCAUGCGCUUCUCGUCGCCGCUCCGCCCGGGGAUCCUCACCGAACUCCACCGCCUCCGCCCGGUCCAGGCCUCCUUCGACUUCCCCGUUCUCCACCUCCGCCGACGCACCCACGAAUGGUCCUCCUUCAAAUUUAAGGUCACUCCUGUGGGUGUUGAGCUCCUUGAGGCUUCUGGUGAUAUACGCUGGUGCUUGGACUUCAGAGAUAUGAAUUCUCCGGCAAUUGUACUCUUGGGGGAUAGCUAUGGGAGGAAGACUUCUGAAGGUGGAGGGUUUGUGCUAUGCCCUCUUUAUGGUAGGAAGUCAAAAGCUUUUAUGGCUGCUUCAGGAACUACAAACACUGCAAUUAUAUCGCAUAUGACGAAAACUGCCAAAUUAAAGAUUGGAUUAUCACUAUCUGUGGAUAACUCACAAUCAAUGAAAGCGGAUGACUUCAUAGCAAAAAGAGCUAUGGAGGCAGUUGGAGCUGCUGAAACACGGCAUGGAGAGUGGUCGGUAACAAGAUUACGUUCUGCUGCGCGUGGCACUGCUAAUAUUGAGAGCUUAAGUUUGGGUGUUGGACCAAGGGGUGGGCUUGGAGAACAGGGUGAUUCUGUCUCUCGUCUGCUUGUUCUUACAAGUACUUCACUUGUUGAAAGACGUCCAGAGAACUAUGAGGCUGCCAUUGUACGACCACUCUCAGCAGUAAGUGCUCUUGUUCGAUUUGCUGAAGAGCCACAGAUGUUUGCAUUUGAAUUCAAUGAUGGCUGCCCAAUUCAUGUAUAUGCAAGCACUUCCCGUGAUAAUCUACUUGCAACAGUUCUUGACAUUUUACAAACCCAGAGACAGUGUGCAAUUCCAGUGCUACCAAGGUUAACAAUGCCUGGUCAUCGGAUAGAUCCGCCUUGCGGGGUAUCACAUCUUCAGAUGCCCCAUCAUAGUUCUGUUGAUAUGGAGUCUGCUACCAUGCACAUAAAACAUCUGGCUGCAGCUGCUAAAGAGGCUGUAGCGUCAUCUGACACUGUUCCUGGAGCAAAAAUCAGAUUGUGGCGUAGAAUAAGGGAGUUUAAUGCAUGUGUACCAUACACUGGAGUGCCUGUCAAUAUUGAAGUACCUGAAGUGGUCUUAAUGGCCUUAAUCAGCCUUCUUCCGACCAUACCACAUAGCCUUCCUGCUGAUGCUCCUCCUCUUCCGCCUCCAUCUCCAAAAGCAGCAGCAACAAUAAUGGGUUUUGUUGCAUGCUUACACAGGCUACUUACAUCAAGAAGUAUGGCAUCACAUAUGAUGGCGUUUCCUGUCGCUGUUGGGAGAAUAAUGGGUUUGCUUAGGAAUGGUUCGGAAGGAGUAGCUGCUGAAGCUGCUGGACUUGUGGCUAUGCUAAUUGGUGGUGGUCCUUGUGAUUCAUCUAUCUUAAUGGAUACAAGGGGAGAAUCCCAUGCCACCUACAUGCAUGCAAAGUCUGUACUAUUCUCGCAACCAAUGUAUGUUCCGAUCCUUGUUAACCGGUUGAGGCCAAUAUCGGUGUCACCAUUGUUAUCUCUGUCUGUUGUGGAAGUCCUUGAAGCUAUGCUUUGUGAACCCCAUGGUGAAACGACCCAACAUGCUACAUUUGUUGAGCUACUGCGGCAAGUUGCUGGUUUGCGCCGCCGUUUGUUUUCAUUAUUUGCACAUCCAGCUGAAAGUGUGCGAGAGACUAUUUCUGUUAUAAUGCGUACAAUUGCUGAGGAAGAUGCAAUAGCAGCAGAGUCCAUGCGUGACGCUGCCUUGAAGGAUGGUGCUCUUCUGAGGCAUUUACUAAAUGCUUUCUUCUUUCCUGCUGGAGAACGGCGUGAUGUUAGUCGGCAACUUGUUGCUCUUUGGGCUGAUUCCUAUCAACCUGCACUUGAUUUGCUAUCAAGAAUACUUCCUCCUGGACUUGUUGCUUAUCUGCAUACACGUUCAGAUGAAGAUUCACGGAGCCAGUAUGAUGAAGCACCGUUGAGCAGAAGGCAGAGACGAAUACUUCAGCAGAGGAGGGUUCAUGGUACUAAAACUAUGGCAGUACAAGAACAAGGGAUACCCCCCAAUGGUGUUGAGGAUGGGGAACCCUUCAGGCACACCAGUGCCGGCACUUACGGAGGAGCAGAUGUUCAUCAGAGGCAUGUUGGCCUGUACUCUUCCACCCACUCUCCUUCGCCAGGUAUAAACAUUGAUCCUUCUCACACUGUUUCAGUUCCACAUGGUUCUGUACCUGAGGCCCUUUCUGAAAAUAAUCAACAAAUCGAGGCACCACAGCUGGAUUCACAUGUUUAUUCAGUGGACUCCAAUGCCAAUGGCAAUCUUGUGAGCUCAUUGCAUUCAGAUUUUUCAGUCCCUGCACAGGUUGUGGUGGAAAACACUCCUGUGGGAUCUGGCAGGCUCCUGUGCAAUUGGUAUGGAUUUUGGAGGGCAUUCAGUCUAGAUCACAACAGAGCAGAUUUGAUAUGGAAUGAACGCACUAGAGGGGAAUUGAGGGCAGCAUUGCAAGCUGAAGUUCAUAACUUGGAUGUCGAGAAAGAAAGAACAGAUGACAUUGUCCUUGGAAGUUCAGUCACUGAGGAUGCUGCUGGUAGUGACAACUUACCUCGAAUUUCAUGGAAUUAUGCUGAAUUUUCAGUGAGUUACCCAAGCUUGUUCAAAGAAGUCUGUGUGGGGCAAUACUAUUUGCGGCUCCUGCUUGAAAGCGGAAGCAACUAUCGAGCACAGGAUUUUCCAUUACGUGAUCCUGUUGCCUUUUUUAGAGCUCUGUACCAUCGAUUUUUGUGUGACGCAGAUAUUGGUCUUACUGUGGAUGGUGCAGUACCUGAUGAGUUGGGAUCAUCUGAUGAUUGGUGUGACAUGGGGAGAUUAGAUGGCUUUGGUGGUGGUGGAGGAUCUUCUGUGAGAGAACUUUGUUCUAGGGCAAUGGCUAUAGUUUAUGAGCAACAUUAUAAAGUUAUUGGGCCUUUUGAUGGCACUGCACAUAUUACUGUCCUCUUAGACCGAACAGAUGAUAGGGUGUUGAGGCAUCGUUUGCUACUACUUUUAAAGGCCUUGAUGAAUGACCUUUCAAAUGUUGAAGCAUGUGUUUUGGUUGGAGGCUGUGUUUUGGCUGUUGAUUUGCUUACUGUUGCACAUGAAACAUCCGAACGGACAGCUAUUCCUUUGCAAUCUAACCUCAUCGCGGCAACUGCAUUUAUGGAACCUUCAAAAGAGUGGAUGUACAUUGAUAAAGAUGGCACACAAGUUGGGCCACUUGAAAAGGAUGCAAUAAGAAGGCUGUGGUCAAAGAAGUCAAUUGAUUGGACAAUAAAAUGUUGGGCUUCUGGUAUGUCUGACUGGAAAAGGUUACGGGAUAUACGGGAACUGCGAUGGGCACUUUCUGUAAGAGUACCUGUUUUGACUCCUACCCAGAUUGGGGACACUGCAUUAUCUAUAUUACACAGUAUGGCAUCUGCACGCUCUGAUCUUGAUGAUGCAGGUGAAAUAGUAACUCCAACUCCUAGGGUGAAACAUAUAUUGUCAAGUCCAAGAUGCCUUCCUCAUGUGGCCCAGGCUAUGCUUACUGGGGAACCCAGCAUCGUUGAAGCAGCUGCCUCAUUGCUUAAGGCUAUUGUUACAAGAAAUCCUAAAGCUAUGAUUCGAUUAUAUAGUACUGGUGCCUUUUACUUUGCAUUGGCGUAUCCUGGUUCAAAUCUCCUAUCAAUUGCACAGUUGUUUUCGGCCACACAUACUCAUCAAGCUUUUCAUGGUGGUGAAGAGGCAGCACUAUCUUCAUCUUUGCCUUUGGCAAAGCGUAGUGUACUGGGUGGACUACUCCCAGAAUCUUUGCUGUAUGUCUUGGAGCGCAGUGGCCCUUCUGCUUUUGCGGGUGCAAUGGUGUCUGAUUCUGACACACCAGAAAUUAUAUGGACCCACAAGAUGCGAGCAGAAAACCUUAUUCGUCAGGUCCUGCAGCAUCUCGGUGACUUUCCUCAGAAAUUAGCACAGCAUUGCCAUUCGUUGUAUGAUUAUGCUCCUAUGCCACCCGUGACUUAUCCGAAUCUGAAAGAUGAGAUGUGGUGCCAUCGUUACUACCUCCGUAACCUAUGUGAUGAAAUUAGGUUUCCUAACUGGCCCAUUGUAGAACACGUGGAGUUUUUGCAGUCAUUGUUGGUAAUGUGGCGUGAAGAGUUAACUCGUCGUCCAAUGGAUUUAUCUGAAGAAGAAGCCUGUAAGAUACUGGAGAUUUCACUUGAUGAUCUCGUGCUUGUUGAGAACGGUAGCAGCAAGCGGCCAUCUGACUUAAGUUCGGCUAAUUCCGGAAACAAAACUGAAAACAUUGAUGAAGAGAAGCUUAAGCGCCAAUACCGAAAGCUAGCAAUAAAAUAUCAUCCAGACAAGAACCCUGAAGGAAGGGAGAAGUUUGUUGCUGUGCAAAAGGCCUAUGAGCGAUUGCAGGCUAGUAUGCAGGGAUUGCAGGGACCACAAGUCUGGAGGCUGCUACUCUUGCUGAAGGCACAAUGCAUCUUGUACAAGAGAUAUGGGGAUGUCUUGGAACCAUUCAAAUAUGCUGGUUAUCCUAUGUUGCUAAAUGCAGUUACUGUAGAUAAGGAUGACAGCAAUUUUCUUUCAUCUGAUAGGGCCCCUCUUCUUAUAGCUGCUUCAGAGCUGAUUUGGCUGACAUGUGCAUCAUCUUCAUUAAAUGGAGAAGAACUUAUAAGGGAUGGUGGUAUCCCCUUGUUGGCAACACUUCUUUCUCGCUGUAUGUGCAUUGUUCAGCCCACAACACCGGCAAAUGAACCAGCUGCAAGAAUAGUCACCAACAUAAUGCAUACUUUCUCUGUCCUCAGUCAGUUUGAGUCAGGAAGAGUUGAGGUUCUUAAGUUUGGUGGCCUUGUUGAGGACAUUGUGCAUUGUACAGAACUUGAAUUUGUUCCUUCAGCUGUGGAUGCUGCACUGCUGACAGCUGCAAAUGUUUCGGUGUCAUCUGAGUUGCAAAAUGCUUUGCUCAGGGCUGGAUUUUUAUGGUAUGUGCUACCCCUGCUGCUUCAGUAUGAUUCGACAGCAGAAGAGAAUGAGAUAUGUGAGGCACAUGGUGUUGGGGCAAGGGUGCAGAUUGCUAAAAAUCUGCAUGCUGUUCAUGCAACUCAGGCUUUGUCUAAGCUUUCUGGUCUCAGCAGCGAUGAUAUACUGUACCCAGAUAACAAACCUGCAUACAAUGCGCUAAAGGCUCUUCUUACUCCAAAGCUUGCUGACAUGCUGAGAAACCACCCACCUAAAGAGUUAUUAUCAAAUCUGAAUUCAAAUUUGGAAUCACCAGAGAUCAUAUGGAAUUCGUCCACCAGAGGGGAGCUUCUCAAAUUUGUAGACCAGCAGCGUGCUAGUCAAGGCCCUGAUGGUUCAUAUGAUUUGACAGAAUCACAGUCUUUCACCUAUGAAGCUUUAUCCAAAGAAUUGAUCGUUGGUAAUGUAUACUUGAGAGUUUACAACAAUCAACCGGAUUUUGAAAUAAGUGACCAGGAGGAAUUUUGCAUUGCCCUGCUCAAGUUUAUAGCAGAGUUAGUACAACAGUGGAAUUCCGUUAACUUGGAGGAGACGAUUCAUCAACAUGGUUCAGUUAUUGAAGCAUCUAUUUCUGAAAAUGAUCAAGUCAGUGAUUCAACUAUUGAAGGAAAAAUGGACAAUUCAUCAGGAAAACAAAGUACAGAUGGAGAUUCUGAAGUUAUUAUAAACCUCCAAUGUGGGCUAACAUCACUUCAGAAUCUUCUUACAAGUAAUCCAGGCUUAGCUGCUGUUUUUGCUACCAAGGAGCGUCUGGUUCCUCUUUUUGAAUGCCUUGCACUCCAUGUUUCUCCUGAAAGCAGCAUCCCACAAAUCUGUUUAAGUAUUCUUUCUCUGUUGACUAAGCAUGCUCCUUGUUUGGAGGCUAUGGUUGCAGAAAGGAUGAGCCUCAUUUUGCUAUUUCAGAUACUCCACUGCAAUCCUCCUUGCAGGGAUGGAGCUCUUGCUGUACUAUAUUCUUUAGCCAGCACACCAGAGCUUGCCUGGGCUGCUGCCAAGCAUGGUGGUGUUGUUUACAUUCUUGAACUUAUGUUGCCACUUCAAGAGGAAAUCUCUAUGCAGCAAAGAGCUGCUGCUGCAUCUUUAUUGGGCAAACUUGUUGGACAACCAAUGCAUGGCCCCAGGGUGGCAAUCACCCUUGCCAGGUUCCUGCCUGAUGGUUUGGUUUCUGCCAUUAAAGAUGGACCUGGUGAAGCUGUUGUUUCUUCUCUUGAACAGACAACGGAAACUCCUGAACUAGUAUGGACACCCGCAAUGGCAGCUUCUCUUUCUGCACAGUUAGCAACAAUGGCAUCAGACCUCUACCAAGAGCAGAUGAAAGGACGUGUUGUUGAUUGGGAUGUACCUGAACAAGCAUCUGGGCAACAUGUAAUGAAGGACGAACCACAGGUUGGUGGAAUUUAUGUUAGACUUUUUCUUAAGGACCCCAAAUUUCCACUGAGAAACCCUAAAAGAUUCCUUGAAGGGCUCCUAGAUCAAUAUGUCUCCUCUGUUGCUGCUACGCAUUAUGAAGCAAUUGCUACAGACCCAGAGCUUCCUUUACUACUGUCUGCGGCAUUGGUUUCCUUACUACGAGUUCAUCCAGCACUUGCUGACCAUGUUGGCUACCUCGGUUAUGUUCCAAAGCUUGUUGCGGCUAUGGCUUAUGAGGGAAGAAGGGAGACUAUGGCAUCUGGGCAGGCUACCAGUGCAUCGAAGGCAGAACCUAGCGAACAUGACAACUCAGCUCACUCCGAGGCCACUGUACAGACUCCACAAGAACGUGUUCGCCUUAGUUGUUUGCGUGUUCUGCAUCAGCUUGCGUCUAGUACAACUUGUGCAGAAGCUAUGGCAGCAACAAGUGCAGGAACUCCUCAGGUUGUACCACUGCUUAUGAAAGCAAUUGGAUGGCAAGGUGGAAGUAUACUGGCAUUGGAGACAUUAAAGCGUGUAGUUGGUGCUGGUAAUCGGGCUCGUGAUGCUCUUGUUGCACAGGGGCUUAAGGUUGGUCUUGUUGAAGUACUCCUUGGUAUUCUUGAUUGGCGUGUUGGUGGAAGACAGGGGCUCUGUAAUCAAAUGAAGUGGAAUGAAUCAGAGGCUUCAAUUGGACGUGUUUUGGCUGUGGAGCCUUAUCGUCCCUCGACUCUUAUCUACAAGUGAAGGGCUUAUUUUGACAUCGCAUGAGGAUAAGGCUGAUGAGUUGUUCCAUUUCUAUGAUGCCUUGCUCGGGACUACUUUGGGGAGAGAAAAUUCUCUUAAUCUUGAUGCCCUGGAGAUGCCUUCUUUCAAUCUCAAUGAGCUAGAUGUGCCUUUCUCAGAGGAAGAAGUUUGGGGUACUGUAAAAUCUAUGCCGUCGGAUAAAGCUCCGGGCCCGGAUGGUUUCACCGGCCGUUUCUACAAGGUUUGUUGGGUAACAAUCAAAGCUGAUGUUAUGGCAGCGAUCUCUUGUGUUUGGGCUCGGAAAUUUAGGAACAUGGGGCUGCUCAAUUCAGCGUUUAUCACUCUUCUGCCUAAGGUUGAGGGUGCAACCCAAGUGAAAGAUUUUCGUCCGAUCAGCCUUGUCCAUAGUUUCGCAAAGUUAGUAACAAAGAUGAUGGCCAACAGAUUGGCUCGGCAUUUGAAUGAUAUGGUUUCUCCGAAUCAAACAACGUUCAUUAAGAAAAGAUUUAUCUUAGACAAUUUCAUGCUUGUGCAGCACACUGCAAGGUUUCUUCAUCGUCAAAGGUGCUUCAUGCUUUUGCAACCGAAGGUGCACAUUGUGCUAGAGUUCGUGAAGUCCUGAAUUCCUCUGAUGUAUGGAGUGCUUACAAAGACCAGAAGCACGACCUUUUCCUUCCAUCCAAUGCACAAUCUUCUGCUGCUGGAAUUGCUGGGCUCAUUGAGAGCUCAUCAUCAAGACUCACUUACGCCCUCACCGCACCGCCACCACAACCUUCAUUGGUCCGUCUGCCAUCUUCUUCUCCCUCUCCACCAUCAGCUCCUGCAAACCCUAGUGGACGGCAUUCUUAUCAGCGUUUGUAGUGCAAAACGGAACAUGUUAAUCUCAACCCGGAGUGUGAACCAUGAAGGCACCAUGGUAACGGUUUCUAGAGUGAGGCCACCUUGAGUGGGCUUGUUACUGCCACCAAAUACAGAUUGUGCGGUUGUGCCUCCAUUCCCCACCAAUGAGCAGCUGUCAGUGGCUGCAUUUCAGUACAUAGCAUUGUACAGUUUUCCAUUACAACGGGGUCAGGGUCGGGGUCGGUUUUGCGUUUGUUCAUGUAAAGCAUAUGAUCUUUUUUGUAACAUAAUAGAUGUCAAUAGAAUAAUGGAGCUGGAAAUUGUAGUAUCGAUUCAUUGCUGGGUCCUGGGUGGAUGCACUCCCUUGUUAGGAUAACACGACUUUCUUGGACAAGAGAAAUGGAUGUUUUUUGUUUUGUUUGAUCA